rnacentral:snRNA from 1 species
UGGCUUUGACAGCUGAGACACUAAAAUUAGAACAGAGAUUAUCUUGACUCUUGUGCCAGGAUGGCAUGCAAAUUCAUGAAGCAUCCUAUAUUUUU